rnacentral:lncRNA from 1 species
UAGAAACAGAGGAACUUGACUCAUGUUACACUUAGUGUUCAGUCAGACCACUGACACUCUUCUAACCAACUCGACACCAUUACAAUAACAGUCAUGUUGGCUGAAGGUUUUCUCAGACAGCUUUGCUUUAGAGAAGAAAGAAAGUUUGUCUCAACAAGCUCAUCUGAAAACAGGCAGACAACAAAUUGUCGUAUUGAUUUGGAUGCUACAGAUCUGCGGCGUAACUCAUUUGGAUUAGGGGUUAAGCAAAAAGACCUUAAAUCCCCUGAAGUCCAUGGACCGUGGGUGGUUCCUCAGCAUCCUGCAGCUCUUUCUGUUCCUGGAUGUCCUCCCACCCUUGCCCACAACCUUGUUAGUGUUCACUGCAGCCUCUUGGAUCAGUACCCUGACCUGCAGGUUGCUGAUUCCGCCCACAUGCCCAACCACCUUUUGAAAAGCAGUGAGCUUGAGUUCAAUACUUACUCGUGCUUUUCUGAAGGCCAACAGGAGCCACAAGCUGAUUCAGCUUUAUCAUUCCCAGAUCAGGGUUAUCUGGCAAUGGGGGCCAGUGCGAACAGCAGCCUUGAACUGGGACGAGGGUUGGAGCCCAUGUCUAACUCAGUGCUGAAUGGGUUGUUGGAGAAACAGCUGGAGGAGGUGUACAUGCAGCACCUGACAGACAACCUAGCACGAUGCCACUCCUGUCUAGAGAACAGCCUCCUGAGGGGCCUGGUGCCUCCACUGCAGCCCAGGAGCCGCCGACCAGAGGCCGACUCUUUAGAGGCCAGUCUGGAGCGAGGCAUGGAGGACAGGGGCCAUAAGAAGAGUUACCCGAGCACGCAAAACUUUUUUCCUUGUUCAUCUAAUUUCAGCUCUCCUAUGUUGAGAAUUUCUGAGGCUGUUGACACCCAUCAGCAGUGAGACUCAAGCAGACAUCUGUGACUCCUUUUAUAUACCACAUUAUCACACAGUCUGUGAUGCACCAAAUUAUCUGUGAAGUAUUUAAAAAAACUAUUUUCCUAUCAUGUCAACAUCAUUUCAACUUGUAUCUGGUUUUCCAUAUAAUGAAACCUUGAUUCAAACAUAGCUGAGUUCUUAUACCC